CGGGGCCGCACAAGCGGCGGAGCAUGCGGAUUAAUUCGAUGCAACGCGAAGAACCUUACCAAGGCUUGACAUACACCGGUAACGCCCAGAGAUGGGUGCCCCUUUGUGGUCGGUGUACAGGUGGUGCAUGGUUGUCGUCAGCUCGUGUCGUGAGAUGUUGGGUUAAGUCCCGCAACGAGCGCAACCCUCGUCCUAUGUUGCCAGCGGGUCAUGCCGGGGACUCAUGGGAGACUGCCGGGGUCAACUCGGAGGAAGGUGGGGAUGACGUCAAAUCAUCAUGCCCCUUAUGUCUUGGGCUUCACGCAUGCUACAAUGGCCGGUACAAAGGGCUGCGAUACCGCGAGGUGGAGCGAAUCCCAGAAAGCCGGUCUCAGUUCGGAUUGGGGUCUGCAACUCGACCCCAUGAAGUCGGAGUCGCUAGUAAUCGCAGAUCAGCAACGCUGCGGUGAAUACGUUCCCGGGCCUU
rnacentral:rRNA from 1 species